rnacentral:lncRNA from 1 species
AAGAAACCUGGUUGUCCAGAUGACCCAGACCAUAGAAAUAUCCACAAUCACAACACCAAAACUUUGGAUAAAAAAAAAAAAAAACAAACUUCAUAUGAAACCCAAGUAAGGUUAGGCCAAGCAUGCCAAACAAACAUCAAAGAUUUAGGACCAAAAUCGGGGUAUGACAAUGUGUUUACCCUAACCGGUAACGAAUAUUU